rnacentral:rRNA from 1 species
UCCAGCAGCUAGCUCUCUGCACCUCUCACAUGGUCACCCACUGAAGCUAAGCAGAGUUGCACCUGGUCAGUACCUGGAUAGGAGACCACAUGGGAAAGCUAGGUUGCUGCCGGAA